rnacentral:rRNA from 1 species
UACGGAGGGUGCAAGCGUUAUCCGGAUUCACUGGGUUUAAAGGGUGCGUAGGCGGGUUAUUAAGUCAGUGGUGAAAGCCUUCAGCUCAACUGAAGAACUGCCAUUGAUACUGAUGAUCUUGAGUACGAUUGAGGUAGGCGGAAUGUGUCAUGUAGCGGUGAAAUGCUUAGAUAUGACACAGAACACCGAUUGCGAAGGCAGCUUACUAAGUCGUAACUGACGCUGAUGCACGAAAGCGUGGGGAGCAAACAGG